rnacentral:misc_RNA from 1 species
AAAUUACGAUCACAGAGGACGUGAAGAGCGUGAAUCGUUGCAAAAAUGUCUGCCGUCUGCCGUUCAAAAAGUGUCUGACUGGUGCAUUUAAAUUUAAUGGUUUCAUUUUACUCGGCAAAAACUGAACUACUCAAGUCGAUUUUUGUUGCAGUGGCCCAUUUUUCACGAGUAAUGGUUUGGUUCGAUCCGAAUCGUCUUGAGAAAAAUAAAUGUGCUGACUUUAUACGACUGACUUAUUCCCGGAAUAAUACAUCGGACACUAAAACCAAGGCAAUGAAUCCCGAUUGCUUCCGCAUGCGUUCCUGUAGCAGCCUCGUCGUGCGGAUGGGGAUUUUACAUUCACGAGAAUGAGACGACUUCCGCAGGCGUUGUUAUUGCGGCUAUCGUGGAUGGUGCAUGGUCACAAAUUGGUCACUUUCAGCAGUCGGAUCCAACUUGAAGAAUGGGAAUGCAAAACUCAUUUUUAUGACUUCUCGUUACUAGCGGCCAUCGUCGCGUGGAUGCGGAUUGGUCACUUUCGGCGGGACCUGAAUGAAUCGGUGGAACUGAUAGAAUGGAAACCUGGCCGAUUUUCUGAUCCAUAUCCCGGAAUUCAAACGAAUCGUCGAGAUCCACUUUGCUCCGUCGACUCCACCGCGUUGACUCCAUUCCGGAAUAAUAUUUACCAUUUGGACGUUUUGGAAUAGCUCCCAAUCGGACGGCUGACAGACGGAAGAUUUUUUUGCGGUACAGGCCCCAUUUCGGUCUGAAAUUGGCUUCUUCCCACCACAUCUGCGCACAACCCAUCGCUGUUUCCUAUGGUUCCGGAAGGGCAGCCAGAUCCUGUUGUCCCUUGUGAAUAAACCGAAGAGCCGAUCCAGUUACCUGCCGGUCCAUAGUUACACACGUAUAAUCGGUUGUAGGGAUACCCCACAGUCUACAUGAAAAGAACCAGCAGUAGAGUAAUCGUGUUCAAGGCUACACCACAGCCCAACCUAUAAGUCUCCGCCCAUACUAAUUGCGUGUAAUGACCAAUGCUAUUUGUUGGGUUUAAUCUGUAAUCAAAUCAUGCAGACAAUUAAAGCAAACCACUCGUCAUGGAUUGAACUUCAUCGUACCAAUAUGCCAUCGCUUCGGUCCAGUUGGAUGCACCAAGAUUGUCGACGGAGGAUUCAACGAUGCUACCAAACCAAGCAGAGAGUUCAGCAUUAGCUAUACUUUGAUCUUACCGACAUCUCUGCAAAUGUCGUGUUCGUAAACGCAUUGCAGAGCGUGCGCUGUUGACAUCGCGGCUAGCUCAUCGUCCCAGAACUAUAAAGGAAAAGAAAACUAAGUAUUUUUAAUUCAAACUUUUUAACAAUUUAAAUACUAAUUAUAGUCUUACUGUACUGUUGUUAUGCUACAAAUAUUGGAAACGUUUCAAAAAUA